UACAGAGGGUGCGAGCGUUAAUCGGAAUUACUGGGCGUAAAGCGUGCGUAGACGGUCGUGCAAGUCGGGUGUGAAAGCCCCAGGCUCAACCUGGGAAUUGCAUUCGAGACUGCUCGGCUAGGGUGCGGAAGAGGGAAGCGGAAUUUCCGGUGUAGCGGUGAAAUGCGUAGAUAUCGGAAGGAACACCAGUGGCGAAAGCGGCUUCCUGGUCCGACACCGACGUUCAGGCACGAAAGCGUGGGGAGCAAACAGG
rnacentral:rRNA from 1 species